rnacentral:lncRNA from 1 species
CUACACGGAGGUAUACGUCCUGAACCCCACAGAGGUUUAAACAGUGGUGUAGUAGGAGCUACACGGAGGUAUACGUCCUGAACCCCACAGAGGUUUAAACAGUGGUGUAGUAGGAGCUACACGGAGGUAUACGUCCUGAACCCCACAGAGGUUUAAACAGUGGUGUAGUAGGAGCAACACGGAGGUAUACGCCCUGAACCCCACAGAGGUUUAAACAGUAGUGUAGUAGGAGCUACACGGAGGUAUACGUCCUGAACCCCACAGAGGUUUAAACAGUGGUGUAGUAGGAGCUACACGGAGGUAUACAUCCUGAACCCCAAAGAGGUUUAAACAGUGGUGUAGUAGGAGCUACACGGAGGUAUACGCCCUGAACCCCACAGAGGUUUAAACAGUGGUGUAGUAGGAGGUAUACGCCCUGCGCCCCACAGAGGUUUAAACAGUGGUGUAGUAGGAGCUACACGGAGGUAUACGUCCUGAACCCCACAGAGGUUUAAACAGUAGUGUAGUAGGAGCAACACGGAGGUAUACGUCCUGAACCCCACAGAGGUUUAAUUAUGUGGUACAAUAGAGAAAGUAGCCUACACAAUCGCAAAGCACGUAAAAUAUAUUCACACGUUUGCUGCACACAGCCAAAUUUCAGCAGAAUUUCAUGGCAGUAAGAGCUGGUUGUCCCAUGGAGCAGCUCACAGCUGGUAGGUAGGACUUGCCUAGUUAAAUAAAGGUUAAAUGAAUCAAAUCAAAUGACAAUGGGUAAGCAAACCAGGUAUUGAAACCGUUUGGUCCAAAGUCUUGGUUGAAUCUUUGCAGUGUUCAAUUCAGUCAUCAUGUGCUGUUUUGAAUGAACAUUUCCAAAUGCUUUCCCAAGGAAAACGUCCUAAUUAAAGCUGCAAUAUGUAACUUUGGGCGACCCAACAAGUUCACAUUGACAUAUCUUUAACUCACAUUUCUUUCUCAUUGAAAGCAAGUCUAAUAAGUGGUAGAUAUGUUCUAUGUGCACUAUUUCUAUGCUUCCCAUUCUUAAGUUUAGUUUUUAUUUUGUUUUGUACACCAGUUUCAGAUGGCUGAAAAUACAAUAUUUUUGGUUAUGGAAAAUAUAUUGCAGAGGUUUAGAUGGUACAAAGAGACUCUAUACAAUUACUUAGUCACAUAAACUGAAAUUAACAGAAAUUAGGCGAACUUAGAAUUUUAGCAACCAGGAAAUGUCGGAGAUAUUUCUGUAUAGUGCAUCUUUAAAUGUUGACCGCAAGUUAGGCCUACGUGAUAUAAUUAUGAUUUGUAUCAAUCUGGAG